rnacentral:rRNA from 1 species
GAUGAACGCUGGCGGCGUGCCUAAUACAUGCAAGUCGAGCGAACGAACGUGAAGGUUUCUUCUCGGGUCUUAGCAUCUUACGGGUGAGUGACAGAUGGGUAAGUUACCUAUAGGACUCGUGUAACGUCCGGGGACCGAACCGAAGGACGGGUAAUAUUUUAAACCGCAUGGUUCAAACAUGGAAGGCUGUCUUGCUGACACUUAUGGAUGGAUCCGCUCUGCAUUAGCUAGUUGGUAAGGUAAGGGCUGAACAAGGCAACGAUGCAUAGCCGCCCUGGCAGGGGGAUCGGCCACACUGAAAUUGAGACACGGUCCAGACUACUACGGGAGGCAGAAGUAGGGAAUCUUCCCGGAUGGCAGAAAGCCUGAAGGAGCAACGCCGCGUGAGUGCUGAAGGUAUUCGGACCGUAAAACUCUGUUAUUAGGGAAGAACAUAUGUGUAAGUAACUGUGCACAACUUGGCGGUACCUAAUCAGAAAGGCACGGCCAACUACGUG